rnacentral:rRNA from 1 species
CGGCGUGCUUAACACAUGCAAGUCGAACGGAGUUAAGAAGGAAGCUUGCUUUCAUUUAAACUUAGUGGCGGACGGGUGAGUAACGCGUGAGGAACCUGCCCUUCAUGGGGGAACAACAACUAGAAAUGGUUGCUAAUACCGCAUAAUGUCGGAUUGCCGCAUGACAGACCGACCAAAGGAUUUAUUCGCUGAAGGAUGGCCUCGCGUCCGAUUAGAUAGUUGGUGAGGUAACGGCCCACCAAGGUCUACGAUCGGUAGCCGAACUGAGAGGUUGAUCGGCCACAUUGGGACUGAGACACGGCCCAGACUCCUACGGGAGGCAGCAGUGGGGAAUAUUGGGCAAUGGGCGAAAAGCCUGACCCAGCAACGCCGCGUGAAGGAUGACGGUCUUCGGAUUGUAAACUUCUUUAAUUGGGGAAGAAUAAAUGACCUACCCAAAGAAUAAGUCACGGCUAACUACGUGCCAGCCGCUGC